rnacentral:rRNA from 1 species
CACGUAGGGUGCGAGCGUUGUCCGGAAUUAUUGGGCGUAAAGAGCUCGUAGGCGGUGUGUCGCGUCGGCCGUGAAAACUUGCAGCUUAACUGUAGGCGUGCGGUCGAUACGGGCAUCACUGGAGUUCGGCAGGGGAGACUGGAAUUCCUGGUGUAGCGGUGAAAUGCGCAGAUAUCAGGAGGAACACCGGUGGCGAAGGCGGGUCUCUGGGCCGAUACUGACGCUGAGGUGCGAAAGCGUGGGGAGCAAACAGG